UACAGAGGGUGCGAGCGUUAAUCGGAUUUACUGGGCGUAAAGCGUGCGUAGGCGGCUUUUUAAGUCGGAUGUGAAAUCCCUGAGCUUAACGUAGGAAUUGCAUUCGAGACUGGGAAGCUAGAGUAUGGGAGAGGAUGGUAGAAUUCCAGGUGUAGCGGUGAAAUGCGUAGAGAUCUGGAGGAAUACCGAUGGCGAAGGCAGCCAUCUGGCCUAAUACUGACGCUGAGGUACGAAAGCAUGGGGAGCAAACAGGAUUAGAAACCCCUGUAGUCC
rnacentral:rRNA from 1 species